GUAGGAAGAAGCUUACACGUCCCAGCUAAUCAGACGCGGGGGAAACCGAGGGGCGGUGAUUCUUUAAGGAGUUGUUCGAUUCACCAGCCUGAAGUAGACAUUUACGGCUUUUCAUCUUCAUCUCUGUCACAGAAGGAAGAAGUGGUACCACUAUGCAGAAUAAGGACAACUGAGGUGGUAAUACUGUUCCUGAUGAGGACUUCUUCCUUUGUCCAAAAAGAAACUUUAGUUUGCCUUGAAACUGCAUUGUCUGUUAUAUA